AUUGAACGCUGGCGGCAGGCCUAACACAUGCAAGUCGAGCGGAUGAGAAGAGCUUGCUCUUCGAGUUAGCGGCGGGCGGGUGAGUAAUGCCUAGGAAUCUGCCUGGAAGUGGGGGACAACGUUUCGAAAGGAACGCUAAUACCGCAUACGUCCUACGGGAGAAAGCAGGGGACCUUCGGGCCUUGCGCUAUCAGAUGAGCCUAGGCCGGAUUAGCUAGUUGGUGAGGUAAUGGCUCACCAAGGCGACGAUCCGUAACUGGUCUGAGAGGAUGAUCAGUCACACUGGAACUGAGACACGGUCCAGACUCCCACGGGAGGCAGCAGUGGGGAAUAUUGGACAAUGGGCGAAAGCCUGAUCCAGCCAUGCCGCGUGUGUGAAGAAGGUCUUCGGAUUGUAAAGCACUUUAAGUUGGGAGGAAGGGCAGUAAGCGAAUACCUUGCUGUUUUGACGUUACCAACAGAAUAAGCACCGGCUAACUCUGUGCCAGCCGCCGCGGUAACAC
rnacentral:rRNA from 1 species